GACAAUAAUCCAGGCGAUGCCAAAUUAAAGACUGGCACCAUUCCCAAGGCAAAGGCUGGCACCGGUGUUGGCAAUCCAGUUCGAAAACCUAUUGUUGUUCCAUGUAGACAGACAACAAACCUGCAGUUCCCAAGAAGACGGCUGGUUUUCAUCCACGUGAUACCGAGGUGAAAGCAGAUAGCGAGGAGGUCGAUCCGGCACACAGAACCUUGUUUGAUGAUUAUUGUAUUGAUACAGAUAAUCCGCUUGGUAAAGGUAGCUUUGGCACUGUGUUUCCGGGGACCAGUAAAGCCGAUGGCAAACCGCCUGGAUCUGGAUUGGUUCUUACAGAACUAGCAGUGUUGCUCAAGUUAAAGGAAAAUCCAAACCCUUAUGUGAUCAAACUUUAUGACAGCUACAGAUGUGGCCUUUAAAAACGCGUGUUUUCUCCCGCGGCAUUCGCCAAUUCGUCUCACGGAGUCUCGCAGAAUUCUGCAAGUGCUUUCGGGGGGGCUACUUUCCCUUUUCCCUUAAUGUGUUUCGCUUCACAGAAUAUCCACCAGGUGGCGCAUAAAAGUGUAUGCUUUGUCAUUGCGGUUGUUUCCAGAAGUUAAUAAGGGCUUUGCUGAAUAUAUAACAUUGCUAUUAAAACAGCAAAGUGACGUCAACCCCUUCUUGCCAGCAUAACAGCGCAUACAACUAAUAAGACGUGCAAUGCGCAUUUAUACUAAAGUGCAACAGAGACCCUUACGAAAAUAAACCAUGGGUCUAUUGUGGUAAAAGUGUAGUAAUCAUGUUUUUUUUGGUGUAUUGAUUACUACGGGUUUACUACACUUACCAUGGUACACCUUUAUACACCUUUCUGCUUUGUUUAAAUUGACAAGCAUUUUAUUCGCCACUGUCAACACGGUUUGUGAUUGAUUUACUGAUUUAUUACAGAAACUUGUCAGAAGCAAAGCUGUUGUUCUAAGCAUCUUUAAAUAUAUGUUUUGAA